CAGUGCACCUCCCAGCUACAGCCGGCAGUACACCUCCCAGCUACAGCCGGCAGUACACCUCCCAGCUACAGCCGGCAGUACACCUCCCAGCUACAGCCGGCAGUACACCUCCCAGCUACAGCCGGCAGUACACCUCCCAGCUACAGCCGGCAGUACACCUCCCAGCUACAGCCGGCAGUACACCUCCCAGCUACAGCCGGCAGUACACCUCCCAGCUACAGCCGACAGUACACCUCCCAGCUACAGCCGGCAGUACACCUCCCAGCUACAGCCGACAGAGUACAGUACACCUCCCAGCUACAGUCGGCAGAGUACAGUACACCUCCCAGCUACAGCCGGCAGAGUACAGUACACCUCCCAGCUACAGCCGGCAGUACACCUCCCAGCUACAGCCGG